CCUACAUCCUCCUCUUCAUCUCUGCUUGCUACUGCAUCCUCCUCUUCAUCUCUGCUUCCUUCUGCAUCCUCCUGCAUCUCCCUCAAUUUCUACGGCGUACACCUCGGAUGUCCCAACCAAAAAAAGGACAAGGAAAGAAUGCUGAAAACACCGUACACAGAAGAUUUUCAAAUAUGAAGAGAUAGUAGACAGGAGAGUUGUAAAUGAAAAAGAAGAAGUUAAAGUCAAGUGGAAGCCCUGCUCAACAUGGUAUGUAGUAACAGCUUUGUUACUACAAAACUCUCCCCCUCUCCCUCACCACCAUCUGUAAACACACAUGUCUCAGUAAUGCAGUUCAUGCAUGUUACUAACUAAACUUCUUCCCUGGAGUUUCUGUGCUCUCUCAUCCAGCAGGUUCUGAAGGAUCGUGGCUGCUGCUGUGGUCCUGCUUGACGUCUGCUUCAUAUAUUAUUACUCUCUGACUUGAUUUGAUUCAUUUAUAUUACAAUGAAGGUGUAUAAAGCAUGACAUGAAUAUAGAAGAUAUUUCAUCCUAAAAAAUUGUCAUAUGUCACAACCUAAAUGAUCCUAUUUUGUGUGUGUGGUUGUUGUUUGUUGUGUUUUUCUCCUGACAGUGGCAAAGUGUGGGAUGACACAUGGGAACCUGCGCAGUUUUACACACAGUAAACCAGGCACCACAGGUGGCAGAGAUCGCACAGUUCACAGUUUGUAGUUCAGCAUAAAAGUUCAAAAUAAGAUAUUUACUGUACAAUUCUAACCAGUGUCAGUCUCUGUUUCACUCUCUAACUGUGGCUUAAGUACAUAAAACACUCGUGAAUCUGAUCCAUCAAUAAUAUCUUCCCAGCACUCGAUAUCUCAUAGUUUUACAUAUCAGUCAACAUUAUUGUCUACAUGCUCAUAAAUAUAGAAGUGACUUGGCUAUUGUAACAUAUUGCAAGUUAAAGCAAUACUGCACUGCACGUAAAGUAAGUAACAUCUUGUAUGAGGUGAUUAGGGUCAGCAGUGCUGUGUAU
ensembl:lncRNA